UACAUAGGGGGCAAGCGUUGUUCGGAAUGACUGGGCGUAAAGGGUGUGUAGGCGGUUUUCUAAGUUAGAAGUGUAAUACCUCGGGCUUAACUCAGGUGCUGCUUCUAAAACUGGAGGACUAGAGUGUAGGAGAGGAGAAUGGAAUUCCUAGUGUAGCGGUGAAAUGCAUAGAUAUUAGGAGGAACACCAGAGGCGAAAGCGAUUCUCUGGACUACAACUGACGCUGAGGCACGAAAGCGUGGGGAGCAAACAGG
rnacentral:rRNA from 1 species